AUGGGCAGAGAACAAUAUUAUGCAGCCGACAUCCCAGUAAGGUGCUGCAGCAGUACUGGUGGCUAUGGUUCCCGUAGCCAGAAGGAGUUGCCCACAGAGCCCCCCAUACAAUAUACAUAGGAAAUCUACCUUUUAAUAUGGUUCAGGGUGAUAUAGAUGCUAUCUUUAAGGAUCUCAGCAUAAGGAGUAUACGGGUAGUCAGAGACAAAGACACAGAUAAAUUUAAAGGAUUCUGCUAUAUAGAAUUCAAUGAAUUCCUUAAGGAAGCUUUGACAUACGAUGGUGCACAGUUGGGCAAUCGGUCACUUCAUGUGGACACUGCAGAAGGCAGAAAACAAGAUAAAGGUGGCUCUGGAUUCAGAAAAGGUGGCCCAGAUGACGAGGAUUCAGGGAUGACUUCUUAGGAGGCAGGGGAAGUAGUCACCCAGAUGACUGGCCAACAGGCCCCGCAAUGGGCACCCACGUCAGAGAUGGUCCUUCCCUCCACGGAUCCAACGUGGAUUUCAAAGAACCGACAGAGGAGGGAAGAGCACAAAGACCAUGACUCCAGCGUAAACCUUGAACGGUUGUGACGCCCCUCAAUCAAGUAGCCAAUCCCAACUCUGCUAUCUUCGGGGGUGCCAGACCCAAAGCGGAAUUCGUCCACAAGGAGCAAGAAUGAGCCUGCGGUUGGGAGGGAAUGGGACUUGGGGGGUUGGAGCAGGACCACAGCCUGGUGAGUCCCUGGGCCGUGUUCCUGCUGCUUCCACUUCCGCACCUGCCACUGGCCUCCCCACAGUGGAAACACAGCUUGUUGAGUGCAUGCCAGCUGUUAACAAGUGGUUUUUAGUACAUGGUGGGCUUUGCUGUAUCUAUGUAGUGCCUGUUUGUGUGUUUUUUUCUUUCUACCACUGCUUCCCCAUUUUCCUUCUGUCCUUUUCCUCCCAGCUCCUUGUUUUCCUAGCAGCACAUCGGAGGAUCGGAGGUGGCUGUGUGGGGGAGUCAUUUGGGCUGCAGUGCCGCAUCAUUUUUCUCCUUGGCUUCCUCUUUUUACCUUAGACACUGGCCCGACUCCAGGCAUUUCCUUUCAUUUCUUCAGUGUUUCUCUUCUGACCUGCAUGUUGAGUUCUGUAUUGCGUUGGCUUCUAACAAAAACCAGAAGUCACUGACAGACUGAACUGCAGUAUAGUAUUCAGCUGUGAUGGACACAGAGAAUUGGAGGCACCUUGUUUUCACAACUAGGAUAAAAAUAGCUGUUAAUCCUUGCAAGGUCCUUUCCAUUUCUAUUGAGAGGGAACCCUGGCUCCAUGACCCCUUCCCAAAGUGGACUGUCCAAAGGGAUAGGCUCACAUGAGAAACAGCGAACCUGAAAGUGGAGACUGUGGAAUAGUGGUAGGGAGUCCAUGGAGAAGAUACAGUGAAUGUUCGUAUGCAUUCACGUGUUUUUGUUCCUGCUCUUUUGAGGUUGUGUCCCAGCUAGUUCACUCCUUUCACCAGACAUGGUCCAGGUUCCCCUCUCUGGCCAGCUGCAGCGAAUGGCCAGACGGUUUCUUUUCUGCUGGGCCGAGGCACUUUGGGGGUUGGGGGUAGUGCUGGCACUGCACUUCGUUGACUGCAGUGCUGACACAGCGUUUCCCCAAAUCCCUGUUGCCUGUGUGUUUGUGUUUAUCUGUUCCUAAUAUAGACAACAUAACGAGAUACUGUGCUUCCCACCUUCCCUUCAAUUCAUAGCCAAAAUGGUUCUAGAAUCUGGUACUUUACUCAUUUCCUUUGAUAAAUGAAAUUGUACUAUGCAGAGCUGUCAGGAAACUUCAGAUAACCGUAUAGGACUUUAGCUGUCUAGGUCUGUGGCUGCAUCUUGGGGAUAUACUUGAUUGUUCCCAUGUGCAGGGUUCAGCACUUACCUGGGAGUGGUAGGGGAUAGGCUUUUGAGCUUGAAUGCCUAUGUGUGAACAGAUUAAAAAUGCUUCAGUACCCAAAUCCCAGUCUUCCCUUUGGGGAACAGUUGGGGGGUGGCUGGCAGCAAGGGCCUAGGAAAGAGACCCUUGCUGGGUGAUGGCAGGGUGGGGUGGGGCACCCAGCGGAGUGUGCUUAGUAAUUGAUCACUGGCUGUCAUCCUUGGCUUCUUCUACUGUGUCUUUGUUACAAGUCCUCAGCAAUCCACAGAACUAACUCUCUCCUUCCUUCUACCUGUCAGCUUCUCUGCUUCUGAGAUAAGAACCAUUUCUGUAACACCAAUACUUAAGAAAGACAUGCAUUAUGUGGUGUAAUCAAGCCUGAUGCUUUCAGAUCAUCUACUUACAUCUUCAAUGUGGAUAAGAUAAAGAAACAAAACAAAUGC